rnacentral:rRNA from 1 species
UACGUAGGGGGGCAAGCGUUGUCCGGAAUCAUUGGGCGUAAAGAGCGUGUAGGCGGCCAGAUAAGUCCGCUGUGAAAUCUCGAGGCUCAACUUCGAGCUGUCGGUGGAAACUGUCUGGCUAGAGUCCGGAAGAGGAGAGUGGAAUUCCUGGUGUAGCGGUGAAAUGCGCAGAUAUCAGGAAGAACACCCGUGGCGAAGGCGGCUCUCUGGGACGGUACUGACGCUGAGACGCGAAAGCGUGGGGAGCGAACAGG